UGCAAGUCGAGCGCACCUUCGGGUGAGCGGCGGACGGGUUAGUAAUGCGUGGGAACAUACCCUUCUCUAAGGAAUAGCCACUGGAAACGGUGAGUAAUACCUUAUACGCCCUUCGGGGGAAAGAUUUAUCGGAGAUGGAUUGGCCCGCGUUAGAUUAGAUAGUUGGUGGGGUAAUGGCCUACCAAGUCUACGAUCUAUAGCUGGUUUUAGAGGAUGAUCAGCAACACUGGGACUGAGACACGGCCCAGACUCCUACGGGAGGCAGCAGUGGGGAAUCUUAGACAAUGGGCGAAAGCCUGAUCUAGCGAUGCCGCGUGAGUGAUGAAGGCCUUAGGGUCGUAAAGCUCUUUCGCCAGGGAUGAUAAUGACAGUACCUGGUAAAGAAACCCCGGCUAACUCCGUGCCAGCAGCCGCGGUAAUACGGAGGGGGUUAGCGUUGUUCGGAAUUACUGGGCGUAAAGCGCACGUAGGCGGACUAUUAAGUCAGAGGUGAAAUCCCAGGGCUCAACCCUGGAACUGCCUUUGAUACUGGUAGUCUUGAGUUCGAGAGAGGUGAGUGGAAUUCCGAGUGUAGAGGUGAAAUUCGUAGAUAUUCGGAGGAACACCAGUGGCGAAG
rnacentral:rRNA from 1 species